rnacentral:lncRNA from 1 species
GAGGAAUUAGACUGGUAUUGUUUUAAUACUAGAGUGCCAUUAACAACCUGGAGUGUGGCUUACAGGUGGGUGCUACUGCUCACAGUGUUUACCUGUGGAAUCCUUUACCUAAAGGAAUCCCUUUAGGAUCCCUGGAGAGCAGCACAUCCUGAGCAGCACAUACAAUAUUCUGCUGAUGUGACUACAUCAAAUAUCUUGUGGUCAGCUGCAGAGCAGCACAACUAUCCUCUCCUGAUUUCCUUUCCCUCUGCCCCCAAAAACGAUUUUGUACCACUACCAGUGUAUGGUGAAUUUGAACAAAUAUACACAUUGUUCUUUAGCAAAGAACUUCCAUGUACAGUUUCUAAUUAAAUGAUUUAAUCAUUCCAAUUCAAUCAACCUGCAUAAACGUCAAAUAUCAAAAAAUAAUCUGUUCCUGUAGUCCUUUGCUGCCUCCCCAGAAUGAUUCUCAGCAAUAUAAAUGAUGUUUGUUCUCCUGUUACUGCAUCUCCAGAUAAUGAGCAGUUUUAUUAUAGUUGAAGCAUUAUCCCAGCAUGUAUUUGCAAGAAGUAUAUGACAAUGAAAUAGUAAUUUUUCAUUAUUUUUCUUAAUAUCUUUAGACCAUCUAUGCCUCUGAUAAAUAUUUAUACUCAGCUUUGUAUAGAAAUAUAUUCCUCUUUUCUAAAUUACCCUCAACUGCAGUUGUUUUAUAUGACUUUUUUUUUUCUCUUUGUGUCUAUUAUACAUUUGUUGUUAAGGUCAUCUCAGUAUUUUGCAUGAAUGCUUUUUCUUCUCUAUGUUUGUUAGGAAUGUGUGCUAUGGACAAAUAUGGACAUUAUUUAUCCAGGAGUUUUUACAUCAGAAGUGUGGGACAGAAGAUAAGGAGAUGAUACAUAGAAAGGAAAUGCCAAACAGCAAGAGCAAGACCAGAAAAAAAUCCAGGACUGGCUGGCUUUUACCUGUGCUUCAAGGUUUACAUUCAUCCGGAAUUUUGAUUACAGAAUAUUAGCUUAUAGACUUCAAAUUUGAAGUUGAGCAGUGAAGUUAUUCAAAACUUUUGGGGAAUUUUUAGUAUCUUCAACAUGGAAUUGUAUCCAAUAAUCAGAGCUGAAGAACAAAUUGAAGUAAGUGUUGCACUGUUUGACUUGGGUGAUGUUCUGUAGACUAAGCUGAUCACUGUGUGAUCUGUCUUCAAUACUGUUCCACUACAGUUUAAAUUGAGCUCUUUGUUUCUCUCAUUUUCUGGAGGAAAAGUAAAACUAGUAGGCUGUGGUGUUGUUGUCACUUGGAUGUAUUUCAGUUGAUAAAAUUAAACAUUUGUGUUGAAAAAUUUAAUUCCCUGUAACACUAACCUUAGCUUGUGAAUUGAUACCUAUGCAAGGAAGAUUGGUAUUCACAGCUCUUGGAAUUAGCAGGUCAAACAGUUGUUCUUACAGUCCAGUGGAAAAGUGACUACAGCAAGAAAACCAGACCUCAGCUUGUUGGAAAUGCCACAGAGAUGUGGAUUUAAAUUGAGCACCUCCUGAAUUUACAUUAAGGGACAGAAUGACCCAAGUGCUUCUCACUUGAGUUGCCAGGGACAAAGGAAAUUAAUUUAAUUACGAUUUAGACUCAGUUCAACCAGAUAUUUUGCAAAGCUUUGUAAUAAGUUGGUGGUGUUUCUUUCAAGUCUUGUAUCAGUUUCUGGGAAAUGCC